rnacentral:rRNA from 1 species
UACGAAGGGGGCUAGCGUUGCUCGGAAUCACUGGGCGUAAAGCGCACGUAGGCGGAUUGCUAAGUCAGGGGUGAAAUCCUGGAGCUCAACUCCAGAACUGCCUUUGAUACUGAUGAGCUUGAGUUCGGGAGAGGUGAGUGGAACUGCGAGUGUAGAGGUGAAAUUCGUAGAUAUUCGCAAGAACACCAGUGGCGAAGGCGGCUCACUGGCCCGAUACUGACGCUGAGGUGCGAAAGCGUGGGGAGCAAACAGG